UGUGUGUGGGGGAGGGAGGGGGGGUCAGGGGACGACAGUAGCCAUGUCGAUACAACCGCCUCAAAAGGUGGCCACCGCCCCAAAUAGGUUGAUGUUUCGGGUAAAUUUCUAGUCGCAGACAGUCCUGCCAAAGACUCAACAGUGUUUGAUAUACUGUACGCCACCCUAUCCCUAGAGUCGUAACACCACUGUAUAACAGUUAGCACAGCUAUUACACAGUUAUAACAAGUUUAACAUAUAAAAAAGUAGGUGUCAUGGCCUAAGGUGGUAUUGUAUAUUGUAUGAGGUCAUUCUAAGACAGCGUCACUGUACGACCUUAUCCAACAAUAAAAACUCAAAUUCCCUCUAAAUUUAUCUCGGAAAUUUAACGGAAAUUGAAUGAUGGCAAUAACUGCUGUGCCUAAAUGAGAUUCGUAAAAUAAAUCUCUUUUUUUUUCGUAGUGAAUUCAAGUUUAAUCUGAAAAAAAGCCUUGUAAAAAUGUACUAACAAAUAGGCUUGUUUCAAAGCCAUGGUCAUUUGCUUUUCAGAAUUUCAAUGUUCAAUGUAAAAAAAAUAUUCACACCUGUUGCCAACUAUUUCUAGGGUCCAACUAAAUGACCAAUGUCUGACUCUGUUUGUUGUAAAUCUCAGAUGUGGGUCAGGUGACUCUCCCAGACCUGAAACACUUCCUGGUUUCACAUACCCAAACUGAGGGGUCAAACAGUUUGAGGAGCCCGGAAGGGGUCAAAGGUCACGAGGGUUAUCACAUGUCUCCGUUGUGUUUGACCUCCCCGCAGCUGGCACGUUUCACAACCUGAGUCUCACUGUCAUUCGGGCGCACCGUAAAUCUGUUCCUGCUGUGUGUAGAAGCUUACAUCUCACCUAGAAGUUGGCCUGUGUUAAAACGGGUUACAGCUCAUCUCCACUGCUUUAUCAGAUGACCACUUGAAAAUACUGCAACUGCAUUUGUUCCUGGUAUGUUCCUGGUAUGUUCCUGGUCACUGGGUUUGAAUUAGAGGCGCAUCUUAACUACGGUUCAUAGUCUAAGAGUUAUUAAAAUAAUAAUGUACGUGAGACUUAUUAGUGAAUGGUCAGCUGUUGGUCUGUCCAGGGGUUGACUACAGUUUUAAUGCUAUUCAAAGGCAUUUUGUUUUUCUGAUAUGUUUUUCUUUUUUUUUUUUAUUAUUAUUUUUAAUGUUUUAUAUUUACAGUAUAAACUGUACAUAUAUAUAUAUACCCAACUUUUGCACGCUUAUUCUCAAGCGAUUGAUUUGAAAAGCGGAAUUGAAGAAAACAAAAUACAGUUGUUAUUUUUAUUUAUUAUUAUUAUUAUUAUUAUUAUUCAGUUUUCUGAAGAGAGAAAACAAAAAGUAAUUGUGAGAGAGAUGCAAAACUAUUUUAAAUACAAUAAUUUUCUAAAAAACCUUAAUCCAUGAGAGGUGUAUUGUAUGAGUUUUUUGAAUGCAAAACGUGUGAAUGUUGUUGUGGAGUGAUGAUGAUGAUGAUGAUGAUGAUGAUGAUGAUGAUGAUGACGAUGAUGGGGCUCUGGGUGUCGAAAUAUGUGGCUAGGUUUACAUUGAGUAAAGUGAAUCUCAACAGUUAAGUUAACACUUAACCCAGUUAUUUUAUCAAUUAAUGUUAGUUUUGCUGUUAAGAUACAAUGUUUAUUUUUGGUAAUUUUGGCAGAAGUUAUCUAGCAUCUGCAUUUAUAUAAAAGGUAUAAAAGUUAAUUAAGAUAUGUUGUUACUUGUGGUGGGAAGCAAAGUGAAGUUGAUUAUAUAUUUGGGUCAGAGUUCAGACAACGAGGCACAGAAGAGGUGGAGAACUUAAGUUAAAAGUGUUGACACACACACACUCAAAACAUAACUAUUUUCGGUGUAAACCUAGCCACAAACUACAUCAUGGGAUACAAUUUUUUUUAAAGGCUGUAUAAUCUUAAACUGCUGGCUACAAGGGGUAGUAUUAUAUAACGUUUUUUCAUUUUUUGCUUGCGUUUAUAUAACAUUGUUGUAGUAGUUCUUGUACCCGUGUGGAAACAUAUAUAUACUUCUUUCUUACUAGAUUGGAUACAUACUGUAGCACAACCAAGGACCCUUUUAACAUUUAACAGACAUAAUAUAUAAAUCGUUAAGUGUAUGCACCAGUAGUUAUUGUGACAUUGUUUAAGAGACAAAAAAAAGCUGCAGCCUCGAAGAUAGACAAACAUGUGUGUAACUUGUAGAACAUUGUGAAGUCAUACAAACAUUGUGAUUGAUGAAAAGCAAUCUAUUUUAAGUCAUAUAGCUGCUAAUUGUGUAUGUGUUAUUGUAGUGGUACUUUUUGCUUUAGGAGUAAAUGGUGGUUAAAUGAGGAUGGAGAAUACUCAGUACUAAGAUGCGAAAUGUUAGAUUAGAGACCACUUCGGACUUGUGAUGAUCUUGGCAGUUUCAGAACAUUCUUUGUUGAUUGUUUAUUUACCAUUUUAUGUUUUUAUCCCUUCUUUCUUACUUCUCUGUUUGGAUUUUAUUAGUUUGUUAGGUGUCGUAAAAAAAGAAAGAAAAGAAACUAGUAUUUUCUGAAACUUUAAAAAAAAUCAACCGCAACAAAUGCAUGCUAGAUUGUUAGAUUGCUCUUUGACAUAGCAAGAGCUCGCUUUUGUGUUAGACUUUACGUCAUUUUCAAGGACAAAAAGAAAAAUAAGAAAAGAAAAGAAAAUGCUAAAAUAAACGUGGGGUGGCGAGA